rnacentral:rRNA from 1 species
AUGCAGUCGAUGGGGAGUGGUGCUUGCACCAUGGUAACCAUGGCGGACGGGUGAGUAACGCGUAAGGGACUUACCUGCGGGACUGGGAUAACAGUAGGAAACUGCUGAUAAGACCGGAUAAAGUCAUGGAGCUGCAUGGUUCUAUGAUGAAAGGAGACGCCUGCGGAGAGCCUUGCGUCCUAUUAGCUAGUUGGAGGGGUAAUGGCCCACCAAGGCGAAGAUAGGUAGCCGGCCUGAGAGGGUGGACGGCCACAAGGGGACUGAGAUACGGCCCUUACUCCUACGGGAGGCAGCAGUGGGGAAUAUUGGACAAUGGGGGCAACCCUGAUCCAGCAAUUCUGUGUGCACGAAGACGGUUUUCGGAUUGUAAAGUGCUUUCAGCAGGGAAGAAGGAAGUGACGGUACCUGCAGAAGAAGCGACGGCUAAAUACGUGCCAGCAGCCGCGGUAAUACGUAUGUCGCGAGCGUUAUCCGGAAUUAUUGGGCAUAAAGGGCAUCUAGGCGGCCUAACAAGUCAGGGGUGAAAACCUGCGGCUCAACCGCAGGCUUGCCUUUGAAACUGUGAGGCUGGAGUAUCGGAGAGGUGGACGGAACUGCACGAGUAGAGGUGAAAUUCGUAGAUAUGUGCAGGAAUGCCGAUGAUGAAGAUAGUUCACUGGACGAUAACUGACGCUGAAGUGCGAAAGCCGGGGGAGCAAACAGGAUUAGAUACC